UGAUAUCUUUAUUCUUUUAGU
rnacentral:piRNA from 1 species